rnacentral:rRNA from 1 species
GUACGGCUACCACAUCUAAGGAAGGCAGCAGGCGCGUAAAUUACCCAAUCCUGACUCAGGGAGGUAGUAACAAGAAAUAGCAAACCGGGAACCUCAUGGUUUCACGGUAUUGCAAUGAGAACAAUUUAAAACCCUUAGCGAGAAUCAAGUGGAGGACAAGUCUGGUGCCAGCACCCGCGGUAAUUCCAGCUCCACUAGCGUAUAUUAAAGUUGUUGCAGUUAAAAAGCUCGUAGUUGAACCUCUGUCUGGGGCUAGUUUUGGCUUUGGUCAGGCUAGUUCUAGGCAUCCGCCUACAAGACUUAGAGGGCAUUCAGUUGUUCACUAGGAGGAGUAGGCAUUUUACUUUGAAAAAAUUAGAGUGUUUAAGGCAGGCAAUCGCCCGCAUAUAUUAGCAUGGAAUAAUAGAAUAGGACACUUUUCCAUUUCGUUGGUUAUUGGAAUCGUGUAAUGAUUAAUAGGGACAGUUGUGGGCAUUUGUAUUUAAUUGUCAGAGGUGAAAUUCUUGGAUUUAUUAAAGACAAACUAACGCGAAAGCAUUUGCCAAGGAUGUUUUCAUUAAUCAAGAACGAAAGUUAGGGGAUCAAAGACGAUCAGAUACCGUCCUAGUCUUAACUAUAAACUAUUCCGACUCAAUGUUUGACUGGCUUAUAUAACCAGUUGAGCGUUGUAUGAGAAAUCAAAGUCUUUAGGUUCUGGGGGGAGUAUGGUUGCAAAGCUGAAACUUAAAGGAAUUGACGGAAGAGCACAACCAGGAGUGGAUUCUGCGGCUUAAUUUGACUCAACUCGAGGAACCUUACCAGGUUAAAACAAUAGUGGGAUUGACAGUUUGAGAGCGCUUUCUUGAUUGGUUGGGUGGUGGUGCAUGGCCGUUCUUAGUUGGUGGAGUGAUUUGUCUGCUUAAUUGCGUUAACGAACGAGACCUUAACCUGCUUACUAGACUGGCGAUCAUCAAUCGUUAGCUCUUCUUAGAGGGACUUUGGUUGUUUUAACUCCAAGGAAGUUUGAGGCAAUAACAGGUCUGUGAUGCCCUUAGAUAUCCUGGGCCGCACGCGUCAUACAAUGACUAGUUCAGAAAGUUUUCUCCUGACCCGAAAGGGGAUGGGUAAUCUUGAUAAUACUAGUCGUGUUAGGGAUCGAUCUUUGCAAUUAUAGAUCUUGAACGAGGAAUUCCUAGUAAGCGCGGUUCAUCAGACCGUACUGAUUACGUCCCUGCUCUUUGUACACACCGCCCGUCGCUUCUACCGAGUGGGUGGUCCGGUGAGAUAAUUGAACUUCGCAGGUAACUGAGAGGAAAGAUUAUCAAACCUAUCCACCUCGAGGAAGAAGAAGUCGUAACAAGGUU